CAGCCGCCGCGGGAAAACGUAGGGUGCAAGCGUUAAUCGGAAUUACUGGGCGUAAAGCGUGCGCAGGCGGUUAUAUAAGACAGAUGUGAAAUCCCCGGGCUCAACCUGGGAACUGCAUUUGUGACUGUAUAGCUAGAGUACGGCAGAGGGGGAUGGAAUUCCGCGUGUAGCAGUGAAAUGCGUAGAUAUGCGGAGGAACACCGAUGGCGAAGGCAAUCCCCUGGGCCUGUACUGACGCUCAUGCACGAAAGCGUGGGGAGCAAACAGGAUUAGAGACCCCCGUAGUCCCUGUCUCUUAUAC
rnacentral:rRNA from 1 species